AUGCAUGAGAUUGCCCUGCACGAGGUUGACAUCCCGGAUAUGGCCCUGCCUGAGAUUGUUCUUCUUGAGAUUGCCCUUCCUGCCCUUCUUCAGGUUGGUCUCCUUGAUAGUGUUUUGCCUGAGACUGCCCCAUUUGAGGUUGCUCUCCCUGAAUGUGCUUUCCCUGAGACUGCCCCGUUUGAGGUUGCUCUCCCUGAGACUGCCCCAUUUGAGGUUGCUCUUCCUGAGAGUGUUUUGCCUGAGAUUGCCGUUCCUCAUAUUGAGUGUGUGGGUAGGAUUCUGGCUCUCGUUGUUGUGUAA
rnacentral:rRNA from 1 species